rnacentral:tRNA from 1 species
GUCUGGGUGGCUCAGUCGGUUAAGUGUCCGAUUUAGGCUCGGGUCAUGAUCUUGUGGUUCAUGGGUUCGAGCCCCAUGUCAGGCU